UCGCCCUACGGACGCAGCAGUGAGGAAUAUUGGUCAAUGGUCGGGAGACUGAACCAGCCAAGCCGCGUGAGGGAUGAAGGUACAGAGUAUCGUAAACCUCUUUUGUCAGGGAACAAAGGCGGGGACGUGUCCCCGGAUGAGUGUACCUGAAGAAAAAGCAUCGGCUAACUCCGUGCCAGCAGCCGCGGUAAUACGGAGGAUGCGAGCGUUAUCCGGAUUUAUUGGGUUUAAAGGGUGCGCAGGCGGUCUGUUAAGUCAGCGGUCAAAGCCCGGGGCUCAACCCCGGCCCGCCGCUGAAACCGGCG
rnacentral:rRNA from 1 species